AAGUGGAGCAAUCCAUGAGUAAAGUGGCGACCGGGUGAGUAACACGUGACUAACCUACCUUCGAGUGGGGAAUAACCUAGGGAAACCUGGGCUAAUACCGCAUAACGUCUUCGGACCAAAGGAGCAAUCCGCUUUUGGAGGGGGUCGCGGCUGAUUAGCUAGUUGGUAGGGUAAUGGCCUACCAAGGCGAAGAUCGGUAUCCGGCCUGAGAGGGCGCACGGACACACUGGAACUGAAACACGGUCCAGACUCCUACGGGAGGCAGCAGUGGGGGAUUUUGCGCAAUGGGGGAAACCCUGACGCAGCAACGCCGCGUGGAGGAUGAAGCCCCUUGGG
rnacentral:rRNA from 1 species